rnacentral:rRNA from 1 species
GACGAACGCUGGCGGCGUGCUUAACACAUGCAAGUCGAACGGAAAGGCCCUGCUUUUGUGGGGUGCUCGAGUGGCGAACGGGUGAGUAACACGUGAGUAACCUGCCCUUGACUUUGGGAUAACUUCAGGAAACUGGGGCUAAUACCGGAUAGGAGCUCCUGCUGCAUGGUGGGGGUUGGAAAGUUUCGGCGGUUGGGGAUGGACUCGCGGCUUAUCAGCUUGUUGGUGGGGUAGUGGCUUACCAAGGCUUUGACGGGUAGCCGGCCUGAGAGGGUGACCGGCCAAAUUGGGACUGAGAUACGGCCCAGACUCCCACGGGGGGCAGGAGGGGGGAAUAUUGCACAAGGGGCGGAAGCCUGAGGCAGCAACGCCGGGGGCGGGAUGACGGCCUUCGGGUUGUAAACCGCUUUCGCCUGUGACGAAGCGGGGGUGACGGUAAUGGGUAAAGAAGCACCGGCUAACUACGU